UUUAAAAGAACUAGAAACUACAAAAGGGAUUGUCGAAGAGCUUAAGUUAAAGCUACAGAAACAAGCAGCUGAAGUUAAUGCGACCCUGGAGUCAAGUGCAGAUGCUAGAAAUGAGACUUCUAAUUUUGAUGAAGAAGAGAAGGAUAACCUUGAAAAUCCCAAGGGGGAAGAGCUUCAGUUAAAGCUACAGCAACAAGCAGCUGAAGUUAAGGCGGCCCUGGAGUUAAGUGCAGAUGCUAGAAAUGAGACUUUUAAUUUUAAUGACGAAAAGAAGGAUAACCUUGAGGAUGCCAAUCAUCAGAAUUUGAUGGGAGGUUUGAGCCCAUUGCCCUCUUCAGCCCCUGGCUUAAUUUUAUUGGAACUCAAACAGGCCAAGUUGAACCUUUCUAGGACUACUAAUGAUCUUGCAGACACUCGAACUUCUG
rnacentral:lncRNA from 1 species